UUGUAGAAUUUGUCUUUGAUUAGGUCCUNGUCUAUGUUCCUUGGAACAGGACGUCAUAGAGGGUGAGAAUCCCGUUUGGCGAGGAUACCUUUUCUCUGUAAGACUUUUUCGAAGAGUCGAGUUGUUUGGGAAUGCAGCUCAAAGUGGGUGGUAAAUUCCAUCUAAAGCUAAAUAUUGGCGAGAGACCGAUAGCGAACAAGUACAGUGAUGGAAAGAUGAAAAGAACUUUGAAAAGAGAGUGAAAAAGUACGUGAAAUUGUUGAAAGGGAAGGGCAUUUGAUCAGACAUGGUGUUUUUUGCAUGCACUCGCCUCUCGUGGGCUUGGGCCUCUCAAAAAUUUCACUGGGCCAACAUCAAUUCUGGCAGUAGGAUAAAUCAUUAAGAAUGUAGCUACCUCGGUAGUGUUAUAGCUUAUUGGAAUACUGCUAGCUGGGANUGAGGACUGCGCUUCGGCAAGGAU
rnacentral:rRNA from 1 species